UCUGAGUAGUCCUCACUGAAGCCUGAACUCAGCAGGCCCCAAGCAAGCUAGGAAGAAGGCAGGCAGAGUUCUCUGCAGCAGACCCUCUGCCCAGACCACCCAGCACAGCUUUUGCAAGUUACAGGACCACUCCCCUACUGCUCUACCAGUUUGGCACCGGCUACCAUUAUGUUUGGCAGAUAGGUUAGGACAAAAUUGCCUCAACUUGACACUGUCAGGACACUGCCUUACAUCAACAUGAUAAACAUUCAAAAGGAUGUGAUGAAGCAGUAUACUGAUCAAUACAGGGUCAAUAUGGGAACUGAACGUGACAAGAACAUGCUAAAAGCACCAGUCAAGGGUCAUCACCAUAAGGAGGUUUCGGAAGAGACUUGUUUGCAAGCUGAGAGUUGACUGAAAGAGAGAGAGCUGCAGCCGCAACUGAACAGUAACGCCAAGCAAGCAGGCAGGCUCUUCUUCCAACCCUGAGACCCCUGGGAGCUCUGAGAACACUCCCUCAAGGAUUAGGGUGCUGCAGCUGAAUGUCAGAUAAAGUCGCUCACAUCUGUGCUGACCUGGACUCCAGAAUUUUGGCAGUUCCAGCAGACGUGCUUCAGGGAGGCAGUGGAUGUCCUGAAUCAGGGAUUGGAGGCCGUGAUGGGUUGGACGUGAACUAAUAAACUGAGACUGAAUCCGGACAAGAUGGAGGUAAUGUUGGUCAGUAGGAGAGCCAAUCGGGAUGAGGUGAUUCUACCUGUUCUAGAUGGGGUUGCAUUCCCUUGAAGGAGCAAGUACGCAGCUUUGGGGUAUUACUGGACCCAGCUCUGCUUUUGGAAGCUCAGGUGGAGGUGGUGGCUAGGGGUGCCUUUGCACGGCUUUGGCUAGUGCACCAGCUGUGCCAAUAGUCUUUAUUUUGGUCUCAGCAAAGAACCAGACAAAAGGCUAAUGAAGGAGAUCCUUGUGAACUGCCUGACAGAAAGGGAUGUGCACAGCACUGGUGGGAGGUGGCUCAUGCGCAUGUGCAUUGGGAACUUCCGGUCACUUCUGGUCCGAGGCAACAGGGCGUCAGGGAGGUAUGCUGCUGCCCUGAUGGACCCUUUUAAAGUGCAGUGCUGGUGGGGAAAAUGUGGCAGGAGGGGUAAGAGCACCCUCCCUUGCCCUUAAAGGUAUCCUCCGCCUUCAGACCAGUCAAACUUCUGGUUGUUUGAACCUGUUCUGAAGCCCAUAAAAGGGCCUCUGAAGAGGCUUGUGCACAUCCCUACUGACAGAGUGAGGUGCUUUACACAGCAGUGUGAAGUACCAAAAUGGGUUUUGCGGGGAGAGCAGGUUUGACCUGCUCUCCUCACAGAUGAUUGCCUAGCCCUCCCUGGGUGCCUGGACUGAUGAUUACCAGCUUUGUCACAGAGCCAGUUGGGGUGGUGGAGUUUGGGGCCGAAGUCCCAGAAUGACUCAUGUGAGUGCGCGGGGCAUUCUCGGGAGCCUCCCAAUGCUGGGAGGCUACUUAUGGGUUGCCAUGGCACGGGGGUGUACUACAGCAACACAUGAUCUGAAAAACGGGGUUAGCAGAGCGUGCACUCUGCUAACCUCAUUUCGGGGGGGAUUUAAGCGGGCUUGCUGCCAGGAGCCGCUCAGCUCCCGUUGCUUCCCACAAUCGGGAGAAAUUGGGCAAGCCUUCCCUAGCCUGAUUUUUGCCAGUUGUGGGAAUAGCUUCAGUGCCUAGGCCAGGUAUACACAAUUUGAUGUAUACCUGGCCCAAUUAGCAAAACAUAGACUACCGGGAAUGUAUGGCAGCUCUUGAGUGUUCAGUUAAUCUCCUGGGGCAAUAUCCAGAGUGAGAUAGUCAUGAAUAAGUCCCUCUGAAAUUAAUGGAAUUUAUAUUUGUCAUGACUAACUCGUUCCAUAUAUUUCAGUGGUGCUUUUUGGAUGGUGUUUAGUCAUGACUACCUAGACUGGAUGCUGCCCAGGUCUUUUCACUGCCCAGGAAACUUUAAGCAUCUUGCAGGUCACAGUGCAUAGUUGGUGUCCAGUGUUAUGUACAAGUUAUGUAGGGAGCCAGAUGAAUACCAAUUUAUCAGAUGUUCUGUGAUGUCAGGUUAUCACCUACCCCUUGACUGCCAAUUGCCACAUAUGAUAACAAUUUCCACUGCUGGAGCACCUGGUAUUUUACCUGCAGCUGUGACCUCUGUAGCAAUGCCCACUGAGCUUAAUUUUCUAUGACUUCCACCCAAUAAAGCUUAAUUACAGAGUACAUUUGGAUAUAUGGCAAAGCGCUAGGAGUAAAACAGUAAAUUUAUCCAAUAAAAAUCUGUGGAUGUUUUAAUAUCCACAAUGAAUGUAUGAAAAUAGGCAGUAUGUCAGUGUGUCAAGAAUAUUUCCUUCUCAGUAAGCUGAAUUCCUGAGUCUCCAAACAUUUGUACUGUUCUACCCUCGAUCCCAGAAUUGUCUUGGCUAAAUUAUUAAUCAGUAAUUAAAUCUUAACUUGUACUCUGC